rnacentral:rRNA from 1 species
GAUGAACGCUGGCGGCGUGCCUAAUACAUGCAAGUCGAGCGAACAGACGAGGAGCUUGCUCCUCUGACGUUAGCGGCGGACGGGUGAGUAACACGUGGAUAACCUACCUAUAAGACUGGGAUAACUUCGGGAAACCGGAGCUAAUACCGGAUAAUAUAUUGAACCGCAUGGUUCAAUAGUGAAAGACGGUUUUGCUGUCACUUAUAGAUGGAUCCGCGCCGCAUUAGCUAGUUGGUAAGGUAACGGCUUACCAAGGCAACGAUGCGUAGCCGACCUGAGAGGGUGAUCGGCCACACUGGAACUGAGAAACGGUCCAGACUCCUACGGGAGGCAGCAGUAGGAAAUCUUCCGCAAUGGGCGAAAGCCUGACGGAGCAACGCCGCGUGAGUGAUGAAGGUCUUCGGAUCGUAAAACUCUGUUAUUAGGGAAGAACAAAUGUGUAAGUAACUAUGCACGUCUUGACGGUACCUAAUCAGAAAGCCACGGCUAACUACGUG